GGGUGAAAAAGGACCUCCUGGAAUCAGUCCAAUGCCUGAAUGUGACCUGGUCGAAUACAUACGCAAAAACUGUCCUUGCUGCUCCGGUAAUGGUACCCAGUGUCCAGUUUACCCCACAGACCUGGUGAUAGCAUUGGACAUGUC